rnacentral:rRNA from 1 species
UACGGAGGGAGCUAGCGUUGUUCGGAUAUACUGGGCGUAAAGCGCACGUAGGCGGCGCCGUAAGUCAGGGGUGAAAUCCCGGAGCUCAACUCCGGAACUGCCCUUGAAACUGCAGUGCUAGAAUCUUGGAGAGGCGAGUGGAAUUCCGAGUGUAGAGGUGAAAUUCGUAGAUAUUAGGAAGAACACCAGUGGCGAAGGCGGCUCACUGGUCCGGUACUGACGCUGAGGUGCGAAAGCGUGGGGAGCAAACAGG